GUGCUUAUUCUUUUGGCACUAGUAUCUUUUGUAAAGUUACUAGUACUUAAUCAUUAGAUACUUGUACUUAUUCAUUAGAUACUAGUGCUUAUUUAUUAGGUACUUGUACUUAUUCAUUAGAUACUAGUACUUAUUUAUUAGGUACUAGUACUUAUUUAUUAGGUACUAGUACUUAUUUAUUAGGUAUUUAUUAAUUAGAUACUAGUACUUAUUUAUUAGAUACCAGUAUUUAUUUAUUACACAGUAAAAAACAUUGGGUUGUUUUUUUUAACCUAACCGCUGGGUUACACAUAUUGGGUCAAUGUGUUGGGUUAUGUUAAAAUUUGUUUGGUCAUUUUUUUUUCGCCGUUGGGUUAUUUUUAGUUAUAAACCAACUGUUGGAAUAAAUAUGUUUCCCGCUUCACUCCGUUCAAAUUUUAACGGUCCAGUCAGCGACUCAGCACAGACAUCAGCGGCAGCCUGCAUGAUUAUGAAGGGUAAGUAAUUGUUAAUAUAAUCUAAUGAUGUAUAUAACUGUUGUAAUAUUAAGUAAUGUUUCUGAUACGUUAAUUAUAAUUUUUUUAUACGUUAAAAAAGUUUAUUCCCUUUAGUCCGUUUGUUUCCCCCAGAGAAUCAGAUCGAUUGUAAAUGAAUGCUAUUCCUGUUUGUUUGCCAGCAUUAAUACAUUACAAAACAGCUGCGCUGUUGACACCUAAUUUAUUUACUUUAUAUCUUCAAGACUUAAAUCUUUCCACAUUAUUGCUGUUACUGUAUUUGGUUGCGUUGUUGCAAAACUUAAUUGUUAACUUUUCAUGAUUAUGAGGCUUUUAACUGACUAAAGUUAUGAUUAAUGACUUUAUAUAUUUGAAUGUUUGAUUGACAUGACACCAUUACGUUAUCGCCGACGACAUCAUUACGUCGAACUUCCCAUCACUAUUGAAUGAACCUGCAAUUUUCUGUUAUAAAUGUCCAAAACCCAGAUGAAAGAAAAGCGCACAGUCAUGAGGCAAUCCGCUCUUUAAGCGAAAAUUUAUACCAGUGCCCCAAAUUUACAUAACGUUACUCCUACAAACAACCUUUAAGAGGGGAGCGUAAAACAGAAGUCAUAGCCGUCUUAGCGCACCAGCCCUAAUUAAUUGUACAGUAAAAGUGUUUUAAUGGUUUAUUCAUAUUGAAUAUUGUUAAGCAUCUAUUAGAAUACCCUAUAAUUACAGCAAUUUCUCUUAUGAAGCUAGAUUGAUUGACAUGUUUUUUAAAUGUGUUGUAAUAAAUGUGUUUUUACUUAUGUUUUAGACAAUGGACUUUUUCGUGAAGAAAAAAUUGCAACAAUAAAAUUUCUGCCUGUUAACCGAAACAUUUCAAGGCCUUCGUGCAGAAAUUGUCUUUAAAACCCUUCCUGCCAUCUGGACCAUACCACACAAAUGGAAAAAUGGUGUGCACAUCAUACAUGGAAAUGAAUCGGUCUUUCAUUGACAUUCAUCCUGUUGGCACUAAUUAUUGCUGUACUUGAAUCAUGAGACAAGCCAGAAUCCACAUGUCCUGGUGCUUGGUGAAAAGGAAAACUCCUCCCAAGUUUUUAUUAUUUUAAAACGGGGAGGAAACAUAUGACUAAGGCAACCAGCUUCAGCAGAUUUUUGAGUUUACUCAACUUAAAGGUCAAUUAGUUGUACAAACUUUUGUGCAUGUUAAAUCAACAUAAUAUAUUAAGUAGAGGUGGGCAUAGAUUAUAGAUUUAAUCUAGAUUAAUCUCACUGUGAUCUUGAAAUUAAUCUAGAUUAAUCUAGAUUAAUCUAUUUUAAAAUGGCUCAUUCGAAUUCUGCCGACGGCAUUCAGAAUAUGUGUGUUACCCAAAUAAAACUGACAAACAGUAAGUCUUUGAGAAGAGGUUUAUCAAGCUAGAUGGUGCAUUAGAAAUGUACAUCUCCUGUUUCUAAAAUGCAUCACAAACUGCUUGAAAAAGCUGUAAACUAAUUCCACAUUGCACAAGCGGGGACCCGGUGAAGGUUGUACCAGUGGGCCCUGUUUGAAAUUGUCUAAUUUGUAUGUUCAUUUAUUUUUAUUUAUUUGUGCUAUUUACACAAUGUUUAAGGUUUUUUCAAGUUUGUAGGUGUCAAGUUACAGAAACUAAAUAAUUAAAUGUAAAAAAGCACUGGAUAGUCUUCAAUGUAAAAAUGAAAUAUACAAUGAAACCUACAUUUAUUCAGACACCUUUAACAUUUCUCACAUUAUUACAGUUUUGCUAUAUAUAUCAAAAAAUAUAUCUGGUGUCUGAAUAAUUUUUGGUUUGACUGUUAAAACUACAAAGUAGUCAAGAGCAGUGAGUGAUUUUCAUUUUCUUGGAUUAACAUUACAGCAGCCAGUAGCUAAAUUAGGCGCGGUCACUUUAAGAGAUGAUGAACACAUCCAAUUUAAUACACAUCCCAUUUUUUUCCUCAACUGUUUACUUUCACUUAAGAAAUAACUGACUGUUUUUUCGAGCAUAAUUUCCAAGGUGGAUAUUUUGACAUAUUUCGUAUGUAUUUGUCGGCACUAGAGCAAAAAUAAGCAAAUUCGAUGUUCAAGUGUUUUGAUCAAAACACUUGAAAACACUUAUUUUUUGUGUCUCGAGACGCCUUUCUCUGCGUGAACCCUGAACACCAGAACACCGCAAGUACUGAAUUAAGCUCUUUCACAUCUUGUUGUUUGUUUCAAACUGCGAUUUGUAUUUGUUCGUUCCGGUGCAGGAGGGACUUCGAGGAGAACUUCGCAGAAGAGAGCACGGUUCAGUGUCGCUGUCCGUUAGGCUGGCUUCAGCCAGUCGGUUAUAUAAAAUAUCAAGGUGAAAGUCAUCAUAGCUCGCUUAGUAUAGACCCAGCUCCCAACCCAACUUUGAGAAUAGAUUAACGGCGAUAUUUUUUUUAUCGCCCGAUAAGAGUCUUGCGUUAACGCAGCACGCCCACCACUAAUAUUAAGUUAAGUGAACUUUUAGUUAAACUUCCAAUUUUGUGUUUAGUUGACUAGAAAUAUAUUUUUAAAUGAUAAAAACUCCAUAAGUUUACAAAACCUGAUAGUUGAAGUUGCUUUAAAAAAAAAACAUGACAAAACUUAAGUUUAAGGCAACCAGCUGCCGAAGGUUUUUGAGCUCUCAUAUUAUUAUUAUAUAUUUUUUUUACAGUGCAGCUUCAGAACUUUAAGUUUUACUCAAGCAGUUUAAAGUUCAGCACAAAACUCUCAAUCCAAUAUGAGUGAAUUAAUUUAUUAUAGAAUCACAAUUUUUUUUUAUUUCAUCAUUAUGAUUAUUUUAUUUUUUUUGUAGAACAGCAAUUUAAAUCACAAAUUUAAAUUCGUUUGAAUGAUAGUGAUGUCAGAUUCGCGAACAAAUCGUUCAAUUUAACCGGUUCUUCUUACUGGUUGAACCAGUUCACCAAAUCGAACUGAAUCGUUUGUAACGGUUCGCGUCUCCAAUAAGCAUUAAUUUUUAAAUUACUUAAGCUGUUAACUUUUUUAAUGUGGCUGACACUCCCUCUGAGUUCAAACAAACCAAUAUCCCGGAGUAAUUCAUGUACUCAAACAGUACACUGACUGAACUGCUGUGAAGAGAGAACUGAAAAUGCAAACCGAGUCGAGCCAGAUAACAAACAAUAGACUGACUCAUUCUUGAUUUGUUACGUAUCCUCACGCUUUUUAUCCUUGGCCUUUUCUAGUGGGAAUACUGCGUAUCACGUAGACUACACCUCUUUGCAGAUGCACUUUCAUGCGAGUUAAAGUUCCACACUAGGCUAACGUUACAUAGUUUUGCUUCAGGUAGAAUGAUAAGGCUAAUUAUAUAUGCUGGCCACUUUCUAAAAGAACCUUACACAGUUUAGAUAAAGUUAAUAAUGAACACAAUGUUAACGUAGCCUGCCUGUGAUGAAAUGCCGACUGCACACAUACACAUGCUUAGUCUUGUGAUUCCACAACUUCCCUUGAUCAUCCUCACAAUUUGUUGCUUGUAGCCAUUUUGUCCUCCUUUCCAAUUCUGUAUGUUUAUAAGGAAGGAUGUAGAACUUCAAUUCAUAAUUUGUUAGUUUAUUGGAGGUACAGAAAACAACACAACAACUCUUCUUGCAUGAUUUUCCCGUGUAUUUCAAUUGGCGCCAUGGCAAUGUUUUCCCCCCACGGGCUAAAUUCACAUCACGUGACGGGGGGUUCCCGGGGGCGUUCCCAGACCAACCAUCUGUAUCUAUGAUCACGGCUAUCAAAGUGAACACGUCUAUAAGAAUAGAGAGAGUGGAUUAUUUACUUUGGCACAUUUGUGUUAUUACCAUCUGUAUAAGUGGCCAUCAGCGCUUAUUUGCAUUGUAAUUCAUAGUAAAUGCUGCAUUUCUAGCAAUCUCAGGAUUUUCUGGAACUGGCAAACAAAGUUAAAUCUUUUUUUUUUCUUGUUAUUCUUAUUUUUUUUACUCAAAUUAUUCUUAUUGUAUUUUUCUAGUGCUCAAAUAAAUCACUUAUAUGAUGUCUAAGUUUCUGUCUAGUGUUUUAUAAUGAAAAAAAACUAUGCAGUGGUAUUUUUACUGACUAAAUAGUUUGUAGAAGCCUUCAAUACUGUUGGUAAAUAUGUUUAUAUUUGGGGGGUGGGCAGUGUAGACAUAGUCUCAUACAAAUAUUUGCAGUCUCAUUUUUCAUGAUAUCUUAUUCAGAUUUGAAAUAGAAACUCAUGAGACAUGUGACUUUCAACCCAUUACUUUUCUAGAUUGCUCCAGGUAUAAUUUCAUGUAUUUUCAUAUCAAAUAAAAAAACAUUUAAGUGUGGUAAAAAAAAAAAAAAGAAAAGAA